UAACUACACGAUUGGUUACU
rnacentral:siRNA from 1 species